AUUGAACGCUGGCGGCAUGCCUUACACAUGCAAGUCGAACGGUAACAGGUCUUCGGAUGCUGACGAGUGGCGAACGGGUGAGUAAUACAUCGGAACGUGCCUAGCAGUGGGGGAUAACUACUCGAAAGAUUGGCUAAUACCGCAUGAGAUCUACGGAUGAAAGCAGGGGAUCGCCAGACCUUGUGCUACUAGAGCGGCCGAUGGCAGAUUAGGUAGUUGGUGGGAUAAAAGCUUACCAAGACGAAGAUCUGUAGCUGGUCUGAGAGGACGAUCAGCCACACCGGAACGGAGACACGGCCCAGACUCCUACGGGAGGCAGCAGUGGGGAAUUUUGGACAAUGGGCGCAAGCCUGAUCCAGCAAUGCCGCGUGCAGGAUGAAGGCCUUCGGGUUGUAAACUGCUUUUGUACGGAACGAAAAGCCCCGGGUUAAUACCCUGGGGUCAUGACGGUACCGUAAGAAUAAGCACCGGCUAACUACGUGCCAGCCGCCGCCGUAA
rnacentral:rRNA from 1 species